UCAGAGCAGAGAUUUUGUCUGACUUCUUAACAGCUCGCUCCCAGCAGGCGAGCCCUGCGGUGCAUGCAGUGGACGUGGCGGUGGGCUUUGGAGGCAGGCCCCUCUCUGAGCUCUGCAUUGCCGUGACAUGCGCGCCCGGGGUUUCUCUGUGUAGCUCUGGCUGUCCUGGAACUCACUCUGUAGAUGAAGGUGGCCUUCCCAAGUGCUGGGAUUAAAGGUGUACGCCAUCCCAGAACAGCCCUGCUUCUUUGAUGUGAAGAAAAGAAAUUAACAUUUAUCUUGUCUAUGGUAUGUAUGGCUGAAAGAAAAAGGAGGAGGGGGGUUGAAAGUGGAGAUAAGAGAAAGGAAAGAAGAAAUGAAGGAAAAAAGGGGGUCUGAGCACUUGUUCUUGCAGAGGACUCCAGUUAAAUUCCCAGCACCCACAUGGCAGCUCAGAACUGUCUGUAACUCCAGUUCCAGGGGACCCGACGCCCUCUUCUGGCCCCGGUGGGCACCGCAUGCAUGUGGUGCGUAUACAUGCAGGCAAACACUCCUACCCAUAAAACUAAAGUAAAUAAUUAUAUAUUUUUUAAAGUAAAGAAGGGGGCAAACAAAUAGGAAAAUGAGUCCAUGCACAAACUUCAAAACUCACAUGACCUUGGGGCUCAUCUUGGGCACUUGACUAGGAGCUUAUUCAUCUGCAAGACAAAGUGAGUCAUACUUGUCCCCAACACCAGUGUAGACGGAGCCCUACACAGCAAUGCUGUAGGUUCCCCCCCUCCCCCGACUGGCCGUGGAGGUGAGCACAUGCCUCACAGGGCCACUGAGAUGCAGGGUCCAGCUGAGCUGACCCACACUGGGGACACCACCCAAUCCUGGAGACGCUUGCGACAUAAAGGGCCAGUUCCCGGACUGGGAAACAGGGACCGGGUGGCCCAAGCUUUCAUCUCAGGGUGUUUGACUAGGAGCACCCAGGGUUGCAUUGCGGGAGUGCUUGGCGGCCUGGGCCUUUGGUAGUGAAGAAAUGGAUCCUGUCGUUAAACCGGUAUUUGCAUUUGUCUAUCUGCUUCCUCUUCUCUGCUUGAACCCACGGAUGAAAAGCAGAGGUUCUGAACUGUGACUCCCUGAGCGUCUUCGGAACGCUGGGCAGGUGAUGACCCUGCGCCAUCAGCAGAGUCACUACUGAGUCCCUGGAAACCCACAUCCCCCCAGGAAGACGCCCCAUGUCAUGGAGCGGCACACACACAGAUGCUCGUGCCGUGUGCCUGUGAGAGAUCGCCUGACACUUUGAAGGCACUAAUUACGGGAACUGUGGGUCAGUCCUGCCUGCCUGACACCCUCCUUCCCCUGUUUUCAUCUCAGACAAGGAAUAAAAGAGCCAGCCUCCCUUGUGGUCAGACCACCACGGCAGAGCAAAGGCCCAGCCCUCCCCAGCGCCUUGGCUCUGUCCGACUGGGCACUAGCAGGGAGGUUCAAUGGCUGCCUUGUUGAGACUUCCACAGGGUUGGCCUGGAAGGAACCAUUAAAAAACAGUUUAGUCAGAACAAAA